UUUUUGAAGUGAUCCCCGCUUUGGGUAUUGUUGUCUACUGGCUGUGCAACUUCAUCAUUUUCCCACGCUGCGGAAUCUUCCUACACGGAAGACGCAUAAUUAUUGGAUUCGGCUUAUUUUUGGAAAUUUUACAAGUAAGCGCUCAGCAUGGGAUCUCCAACUAACGCCGCCUGUGCCUCACCGGGAACUCGCGAAAGUCCCGCCAGCCCAUCAUUAUGUGAUUGGAAUCGGAGGACGCGCCUCUUCCCUACAGCCAUCGACGGCUUCAGCGUUCACCAAUGAUCAUCUGCUGGUGGCAAUGCUACAGACGAGUUGCAAAGGCGAGAUGUCAUCAAAGGCGAACUCACGGAACAAUCUGCCGCCAUACAUAAUGGUCCGCAGCAGCAUAAAGUAGAUGUCUAACAGGAGACAGCCGCUGUAACAGGAGACUGUAGGCCAGAUAAAUCCAAGCCAUCUUCUUCACACGGAUUAGCCUGCUAUUGCCAGGAACAUGCCGGCCCCCUUAAGGCCAUAGACGCUCAGCUCGUAUCGAUAUAAGGAGGCUGUCGCGAUCUAUCGCGAUCGAUACUUCACCCACGAUCGCGUGCAUCGCCCCAGUAGCUAGUACACCGACACCCUCUUCCCUGCAGCAACAUGCUUUGCCUCGGCUUUGAACGGCUCUAUUGGCCGAUACCCUCUCUGGCCACACAUCUCCUCCUCUUACUACGCCAGUAGAUUGCCCCUUCCGUUGGCCAGGAAUACCUCUUCCGUAGCAGUGGACUCGGGGCCAUGAUGCCGUGCGAUCUUCGGGACACGAUUCCGACGUAGCUCCUUGUCCUCUCGGGAGGUGCAAGGGAUGUGCUCCUGGCUGGACUUUGGCAGCUACCGGCUGUCCAGCUGCGGGCCAUAGCUAUGAUGCCGCUGCUGUGCCGCUGAGUCGACAAUGUGGCGUCCCGUCCGCUACAGGGACAUAAUUUCAGCAACCAAACCAAACAAAUCAAACGCUGGAUUUCAGCUUCGAUACGCAAGACUUAUGUAUCCUACGGCGUAUUCGAGACAGGCCGAGUCCCAGCCAGGCAGAAUCGUCUCCCAGCAGGACAGAAUCGCAUCCCCUGAAAGAGCUCGAACCUAACAAGCCGUCAUCAUCUUUCGACCUGGCCAUCGACUACUAUCUCAAGGACUUUGGCUACGGCAAGCAAGAAGGAGCUGUGCGGUCCACUAGAAUAUAGAUAGAUCUUGUUGUUGUUAGAUUUAAGGAUACAUACCUCACCUCUAUGCACAUAUGUAGAUAGUAGAUAUAAAUGUUAUCAACUUGUUUAUUUAUUUAAACUAA